rnacentral:rRNA from 1 species
UACGGAGGGUGCAAGCGUUGUUCGGAAUUACUGGGCGUAAAGGGCGCGUAGGCGGCCUGCUAAGUCGGACGUGAAAUCCCUCGGCUCAACCGAGGAACUGCGUCCGAUACUGGUGGGCUUGAAUCCGGGAGAGGGAUGUGGAAUUCCAGGUGUAGCGGUGAAAUGCGUAGAUAUCUGGAGGAACACCGGUGGCGAAGGCGGCAUCCUGGACCGGUAUUGACGCUGAGGCGCGAAAGCUAGGGGAGCAAACGGGG